AGCAGGUGCCUCCAGACUAGAUUGUUUUGACCACGAGGUUGUAAGUCUUUCCAUGAUGACAGGCAGUUCUCGGAAGGAGAAUGGACUGCAUUCUGAUGUGAGCUCCCCUGUCCCAGGGUGCACAGCUCCCAGCCAGGUUCGAUGUGCUUUCUCUAAUCAGAACAGAGCCAUCAUGGUUGACAGAGCAUGAUUAAUGUCCAUUUAUAUAAAAGGCUAAGUGAUCAAAUGA